rnacentral:other from 1 species
GAACCUCUGCGGUGUUCGAUACGAAACAAGUGCGUUAACCCUACAAAUUAGUUUUUAGGAAGUCGGCUCGGUUUGGCCGCGUGUCUGUCCGCGAAGAGGCUUCGGCAGCUUCCGGAUGACGCAACCCGGAUUGGCGGCUUCCCCCUGAACUUCUGGGUUCAGUACAGCGGUUUCGACCGGCACAGGCGGAGGUUUC